AUGGAAGCGUUUGAUAAGAUGCCUGUUUGCCUGAUUUUGCAUCUGCAGUCAUGCCUACGUGAUCCCUGCAUUUACAUGGACGCCCUCCUUCCGUAUUCUUCUGGCCCAGAUCAUCAUUCAGCCCAUCAUGUCACUGCAGAUGCUCCUCAAAGGAAUUCUGCUAGUCAUUACCGUGAGGAAGAGCGCGUCUGCAUUAUAUACAUGUUUGAAUUGACUUUAUUUUUCCUCAUUUUAAUUAAUUUCAUUCAUCAUUUUUGAGUGGUAAUCUGAUAAUCUUGCCAACAAAUCUCAUUUUCUUUCACAUAGAGUCAGUAAGAUUGCAGUAGGAUUGUAUACUUUUUAAGAAAAUAGUACUUUUAUUCAGCAUGGAUGCCUUAAAUUAAAUUGAUCAAAAUGAAGGACUUUUAAAUUGUUACCACAAAAUAAAUAAAUAAAUAAAUUGUUGCCUUCCCUGGCCACCUGUCCUCUUCCUCUACCAUCUCUCCCUCCAGUCGGAUCCUCCGUGAAAUGGAUUCACUCAGUCCAUCAUCUGGUCCCCUGUGUGCAUUAGAAGAUUGGAGCCACUGGAGUGGCCUUCAUGCAUUUAGAGAAGAUUUGCUUUACUUAGAAAGCGCUAAAGGUGUUUGGUCGACAGAUGUGUGUUUGUUGUCUGACUAUAUCAGUUUGUGUACUCUGUGUUUAUUAUCAUAGAGUGAGAAUGAAUGUGUGUGUAUUUAUGGAUGCUAUCUCAAACAUUGAAGGGAAUUGUAUUAUUCUCCUCCACUAAUGCAUGACAUCUGUUGCAAUGGGUCAGUCCUGAUGGGAUAGAGCACCUCUCACCUCCCUUCGCUCGGCUCCAGCCAUGCUCGAAACUACAGGAAUGGAGGAAAAGAGAGAACAGAGAGAGCUGUGAAGAGAUGUUGAAGGGCUGGGUAGAUGGGCGCUCUCAGACAAAGCUGUGAGAUUUGAGCGAACAGCCUCUGUUGGGUAAUAUGUGCUUUUACACUUCAUUUUCUUAGACCUCACUUGAGAUUUUUGACAAUGUCAAGUUAGAAAGAAGCUAAUCACAGUCUUUGCUUGGUCUCCCUUCACCAUCCUGCUUUUAAAAGGAAACAGAAAGCCACUUUUGUGUGAUCUUAUUUUCUUCUACAAAAGCUCAAAAGCCACAUGUGUGCAUCUAAUGGAAUGUCUUUUCAGUAAUCCAGGUCACUCUUCUCUGGUCCUUAAAAGUGCAGUGUUUACUUACAGACAAUAGACUCUACACCAGCUUUUUUCUUUCUGCUCG
ensembl:lncRNA